rnacentral:rRNA from 1 species
CACGGAAGGGGCAAGCGUUAUUCGACAUUACUGGGCGUAAAGCGUGCGCAGGCGGUUUUGUAAGACAGUGGUGAAAUCCCCGGGCUCAACCUGGGAACUGCCAUUGUGACUGCAAGGCUGGAGUGCGGCAGAGGGGGAUGGAAUUCCGCGUGUAGCAGUGAAAUGCGUAGAUAUGCGGAGGAACACCGAUGGCGAAGGCAAUCCCCUGGGCCUGCACUGACGCUCAUGCACGAAAGCGUGGGGAGCAAACAGG